AAAAAUCCUAAGGUACAUGUUUCCUACAGCAAGGAAAGUGUUAUAGUGAUUAUUUUAACAUUCUUGUCCUUCAGCAAAUUGACCUGCACCAAGGUUCUUUUUGCCUCAAUGGUAGAUUGGAACCCAGUUGAACUGGGUAUUAAGGGUUAGAUAGGGGUAGAGGAUUCUGUUGUUCAGUUCCGAAUUGAAUCGAAGCAAACUGGCAAAACUGAAAAACCAAAUUAUCUAUUAUAUCUAACCAAGCCAAACCAAAAUGAAAUUUUGGGUUCGGUUUGGUUCAUCAGUUUUCUUCCCAUUCCACCAAUAAACAAAACUUGAGAAAUACAGCAACUUUCAACAGUUGAUUCACAGCAACAUAAGGCACAGAAUCAGCCAAAGGAAAAAAAUCAGCCAAAGCAAAGAGAUUUGGCUUGAAAAACUGGCUUCAAGGGAAAAAGAAUCACCCAAAGCAAAGGCCAUGUACAAGCAAACUGCAAAAGAACUCCAAUAAGGCCAUGAUUUCUGUGGAAAAUUGAAAUAGCUGAACAAUCAAAACCCAUGCAAAUGCCGAACAACAAACCCAACUACCCAAUCACCCAACCCUGUGAUUAGCGAUGACUGACGAGAGGACCAGCCAUGCUGCAAUGGCGAUGGGUUGCACACAAAUGCAGCAGAGCACCUGAGACUGAGAGUAAAAGCCAAUGACGACGAGAGGAGUGAGGGGUUGCACAGCAACUUGGGUCCUCUUUCUGGAGAUGAAUGGGGUUUCACAGCCACAUUUGCAACUUGGGUCAUCUUUGCGUUGGAUGCAGAGCUCAGUCAUGGGAAGGAUGGCACUGAGGGAGACUGAAUUGAAAUAGAAAUAAAAAGUGCGAGCCGAAGAGAGUGAAAUGAAUUGAAAGUGGGCAAAGGGGACAGCGGGACGCAAAACAUGAGAAAAUUAGGGAUUUUACAACCCUACAAAACAAUGCUGUAUAAGGAGGCAAUAUAUAGAAUAGGUUUGGUUGGUUUCGGUUUUUUGACUGAAUUAAUUGAACCAAACUGAAAAACCGAAAAUUUUUUAUAACAAUAACUGAACCGAUUAGACUAAAAAAUAAAAUUAAAUCGAUUCAGUUUGGUUCAGUUAAAACCGAUAACUAGUCACCCCUAGGGUUAGACUGUCUAAACUAUUGUUAUCAUUAUUAGUAGUAUUUCCCUGAUGGGUAGGUGCAGGAUUGGGAUUAGUGGGGAAGAAUGACUUGUAUGCUUGCAUGGAGUGUGAAGUGUUAUGAUAAGAUGGUAUUUGAUGUCAAUUGUGGAAAAAAUGGUUUUAAGGAGUUAAGAUUGGCUUUUGUUGCUGUUAGUCUUGCAAAAUAA
rnacentral:misc_RNA from 1 species